rnacentral:RNase_P_RNA from 1 species
GAAGAGUGAAAUUCGGUCGCGCUUUAUGAAAACAUAAGGUGAGGAAAGUCCGAGCUCCAAAGAGCCGGGGUGCCCGGUAACGCCGGGGCGGAGCAAUCCGACGGAAAGUGCCGCAGAAAACAAACAGCCGACCUGCCCGUCCGCAAGGCCGGUCAGGGGCAAUGGUGAAAACGAGGUGUAAGAGACCCCGCCCGUCUGGGGUGACUCAGGCGGGGGUAAACCCCACCCGGAGCAAGGCCAAAUAGGGAAAGAGGGGCUGGCUCGCCCCGUCUGAUUUCCGGGUAGGCCGCUUGAAUCGGCAGGCAACUGUCUGAUCCAGAUUGAUGACCGAAAUUCCGCUUCCGGCGGAAAACAGAACUCGGCUUAUUUCUCUCUUUCUGG